UUAAUUUAUUCUUUACAUUUACCCGACGCAAAGAUGCAGAGUUGUGUGGUCCUCCGGGGGCUCCGUGAGGCAGUCCCCCGAGGCAACAGCGGGCGGUAAUCAAAGGGUUGGAGGUCGGGCCUUGCGGCCCUCACUCGGUAAUGAUCCCUCCGCAGGUUCACCUACGGAGA
rnacentral:misc_RNA from 1 species